rnacentral:rRNA from 1 species
GACGAACGCUGGCGGCGUGCCUAAUACAUGCAAGUUGAGCGCUGAAGGUUGGUACUUGUACCAACUUGAUGAGCAGCGCACGGGUGAGUAACGCGUGUGGAAUCUGCCUUUGAGCGGGGGACAACAUUUGGAAACGAAUGCUAAUACCGCAUAAAAACUUUAAACACAAUUUUUAAGUUUGAAAGAUGCAAUUGCAUCACUCAAAGAUGAUCCCGCGUUGUAUUAGCUAGUUGGUGAGGUAAAGGCUCACCAAGGCGAUGAUACAUAGCCGACCUGAGAGGGUGAUCGGCCACAUUGGGACUGAGACACGGCACAAACUGAUACGGGAGGCAGCAGGAGGGCAUCUUAGGACAGGGACGAAAGUCUGACCGAGAAAAGCCGCGGGAGGGAAGAAGGUUUUCGGAUCGUAAAACUCUGUUGGUAGAGAAGAAAGUUGGUGAGAGUGGAAAGCUCAUCAAGUGACGGUAACUACUCAGAAAGGGACGGCUAACUACGUG